UACGUAGGGGGCGAGCGUUGUCCGGAAUUACUGGGCGUAAAGGGCGUGUAGGCGGCAAGAUAAGUCAGGUGUGAAAACUGUUGGCUCAACCAAGAGAUUGCACCUGAAACUGUCUAGCUUGAGGGUAGGAGAGGAAAGUGGAAUUCCUAGUGUAGCGGUGAAAUGCGUAGAUAUCGGGAGGAACACCGGUGGCGAAGGCGGCUUUCUGGACUGUAACUGACACUGAGGCACGAAAGCGUGGGGAGCAAACAGGAUUAGAUACCCCCGUAGUCCCUGAG
rnacentral:rRNA from 1 species